GAUGAACGCUGGCGGCGUGCCUAAUACAUGCCAGUCGAGCGAACAGACGAGGAGCUUGCUCCUCUGACGUUAGCGGCGGACGGGUGAGUAACACGUGGAUAACCUACCUAUAAGACUGGGAUAACUUCGGGAAACCGGAGCUAAUACCGGAUAAUAUAUUGAACCGCAUGGUUCAAUAGUGAAAGACGGUUUUGCUGUCACUUAUAGAUGGAUCCGCGCCGCAUUAGCUAGUUGGUAAGGUAACGGCUUACCAAGGCAACGAUGCGUAGCCGACCUGAGAGGGGGGUUCGCCAACACUGAACCGGGGAACGGGUCAGAACCCCAAGGGAGGGAGGCGGAGGGAAAUUUACGGAAUGGGGGGAAGGCCUAACGGGGCAACGCGCGGGGGGGAAGAAGGGUCUUCGAUUGGAAAAACCCUGUUAUAGGGAAGAACAAAUGUGUAAGUAACUAUGCACGUCUUGACGGUACCUAAUCAGAAAGCCACGGCUAACUACGUG
rnacentral:rRNA from 1 species